AGUGAACGCUGGCGGUAGGCCUAACACAUGCAAGUCGAACGGCAGCACAGUAAGAGCUUGCUCUUACGGGUGGCGAGUGGCGGACGGGUGAGGAAUACAUCGGAAUCUACUUUUUCGUGGGGGAUAACGUAGGGAAACUUACGCUAAUACCGCAUACGACCUACGGGUGAAAGCAGGGGAUCUUCGGACCUUGCGCGAUUGAAUGAGCCGAUGUCGGAUUAGCUAGUUGGCGGGGUAAAGGCCCACCAAGGCGACGAUCCGUAGCUGGUCUGAGAGGAGGAUCAGCCCAAUGGGAACUGGAACCCGUCCCGACACCCUAGGGGAGGCAGCGUGGGGGAAAUUGGAGAAAGGGGGGAAACCCUGACCCAGCCAACCCGGGGGGGGGAAGAAGGCCUUCGGGUUGAAAAGCCCUUUUGUUGGGAAAAAAAAGCAGCAGGUUAAUACCCCGCUGUUCGGACGGGACCAAAAAAAAAAGCACCGGCAAACUUCGG
rnacentral:rRNA from 1 species